AUGCCGACAACCACAACCGGGGUGGAUCCAGCCGCCAAGAGGCACAUUAGUGGCCAACGAUGGUGGCCUGCUCCCAAGCUGCAGGGCGACCCUGGUAUGAAGGGGGUGUUGGCAACUUGUGUGUCUCGAUCUGCUGAUCUCUACCAGGUGAACCAGCGGAAGCCUCAUCGUGGUGUGAACUUUAUAAUAGCACAUGAUGGGUUCACCUUAUGUGACCUUGUUUCAUACAACUUAAAGGGUCAUUGUGGUGCCUGUUGGGCCUUUGGUGUUGUGGAGUGUCUGCAAGAUCGUUUCUGCAUUCCGAACGGCAUGGUAGUCUUG
rnacentral:rRNA from 1 species